rnacentral:misc_RNA from 1 species
UAUUUUGAAGCCGUGCUGCGUUUCCAACAUGGUGGUUUUUCCGUGCGAGUGGUGUGCUUGUGAGAUGAGUCCCAUGUCCGGAAGAGAAUAUUUUACUUUGUUCUUGGUACAAACGCCCGAGUAAGUUUCACGAGGACCAUCGCAUAGCGGCGUCUUCCGAAAGGAGGAGGAGGAGGAUGCUGUGCACCAUGGAGAAGCCCAGCCCAGGUGGGGGUGCCACGGGGGGCACGUGCACCUCAAGCGUGCCCAAGAUCAUGGUGUUCCGGCCCACCCUGGAGGAGAUGCAGGACUUCUCCAAGUACCUCGAGCACAUGGAGUCCAUGGGGGCACACAAGGCCGGAUUGGCCAAGAUCAUCCCACCUAAGGAGUGGAUCCCGCGCAAGGGUGGCUACGACGACAUCGAGAUGGAUAUUCCGUCGCCUAUCUCGCAAGUAGUGUCAGGGGGCCAGGGCUUGUACCAACAGUACAACAUCCAGAAAAAGUCCAUGACCGUCAAAGAGUUCCGGCGCGUGGCCCAAAGUGAUCGUUUUAACACACCUGCUCACUUUGACUAUGAGGACUUGGAACGGAAGUACUGGAAGAAUAUAGCCUUCAAUGCUCCAAUCUAUGGUGCGGACGUCUCGGGAUCCCUGUACGACCCUGGUGUCAAGGAGUUCAACAUCAACCACCUGAACACCAUCCUGGACCUGGUGGGCCAGGACUACGGCAUCAAGAUUGAGGGUGUCAACACUGCCUACCUCUACUUCGGCAUGUGGAAGACCACAUUUGCCUGGCACACGGAGGACAUGGACCUUUACUCCAUCAACUACCUCCACUUUGGGGCCCCCAAGUCGUGGUACUGCGUGCCUCCCGAGCACGGCCGGCGCCUCGAACGCCUUGCGGCUGGCUUUUUCCACAACACGGCCCAGGAGUGUGCCGCCUUCCUGCGCCACAAGAUGACCGUCAUAUCGCCCCAGGUCUUGCGCCAGUACUCCAUACCUUACAACAAGAUAACCCAGGAGGCCGGCGAAUUCAUGAUCACUUUUCCGUAUGGGUACCAUGCUGGCUUCAACCACGGUUUCAACUGUGCCGAGUCUACUAACUUCGCUCUGCCUCGCUGGGUCGAGUACGGCAAGAGAGCUUCACAGUGCCUGUGUCGGAAUGACUGCGUGAAGAUCAGCAUGGACGUGUUUGUGAAGAAGUUCCAGCCCGAGCGGUACGAGUUGUGGCUGGCCGGCCAAGAUGUGGGCUGCCACCCUGAAGACUCCUCCAGUCGUGUGGCUGCCCGGCCACCCACCCACCUUGAAAUGGCCAUGCUGCGUUCUAUGAUCAAGUCGAAGUCCAAGCGCCACCCCGUGCUGGCCAAGGGUUGCCUCGUACCUGAAGAGGAUGCUGGCGACACUGAUGGCACGGAGAUCUACGACCCCGAGGAUGAUGAGGACACCAAGAAACAGCGGCGGCCCUCCAAGGGGUCACUGUCCAAGCGCAAGCCCAAGGGGGCGGCACAGGGUGGCGACAAGGCCAAGCGGGUUCGCAGGUCUCGCACCAACAGCACCAAUGACAGGGAUGCCUCACCCACCAAAGUGUCUGCGAGCAAAAACCCCACCCAAUACAGUGGCCUGAUGCAGGAGUUGAGUGUCGUGGUGGAGCCCCUGGCGCACGUGGGGCCUCCGAAACUGGAGCCCCACAAGGCGACCCCGGCUGUGGCUCCUCUCUCGGAGGAAACAACGCAGCUGCCCACUGAAAGCGAUAAGGAUGUGUACCACCACACUACUGAGCUGCCCGCAUUGAGCCUGGGACCGGGGGGUAGUCUGGGCGACCAGUGGUCCCUGAUGACUCCGGUGGAGGCACUUGUUCCCGCGCCAUCGUCCUCCCCCAACCAUUCGGCACCGCUUCUUCCUUCCCCACCAGAGGAGACCAGCGCGCUUCCCUCCUCGAAGGUGGCCCAUGAGGCAGAGGAGGAGGAAGUGACACCCACCCCUGGCAUGCCGCGCAAGCUGUGCCUGAGCACAGCUGUACGACGCCAGCCCCUGCACCCAGCGCCCAAAAAGGCCAAGGUGCAGCAUCCCACUGUCAUCAGGGGCCAGGGCGAGGACAGCAGCGAUGAGGGGUGGUCGUCGGGAGGGGACACCUCCGUGUCGAAGGCCAACAGCAGUACCGCCACAUCCCCGGCGGCCACGACAGGUGGCAACGGCAGUGGCAGUCUCGGGGCGAGGGAGCCCGGUAGCUGGGCAGCGCCGUACAUGGACCUGUGGAACUUCCGACCGGCCAGCCUGUAUGCCGAGCGCCAGCUCAACCGGCACUCCUCCACCCUCGAGCCGCACUGCGCCCUCUGCCUGCUCUUCCGGCCACUCCAGUAUUCACGUGAGGAAACGCCCCGAGAGCAGCCCACAGUGCCGGAGUCGAGUGCCGUGUGGAUGCCUGCCGUGUGCUUCGUCAAUGGUGGCCUGGACGUGGUGCGUAGCGCCGAAGUGGGCAUGCCGGAGAUUCCCGACACAGACGUCAAGUCGAGCGAGCUGCUCGUUUGCUCCUCUUGCUCUGUCUGUGUUCACAAACACUGUUACGGUGUCACUGUGCCCGUCAUCAAGGAGACUUGGAAGUGCGACCGGUGUGCGAUUCAACCUGUCAGCGUGGAGUGUUGCCUCUGCUCGCUGCGCGGGGGUGCCCUGAAGCAGACGACGCAUGGUCGCUGGGUGCACCUGCUGUGCGCCCUGUUGGUGCCCGAGGUGCACCUGGUGGACCCGCACACCCGUUCACCUGUGGACGUGCUCAGAGUCACACCGCAGAGGGCCCGCCUGCGCUGCACGUACUGCCACAAGCUACGAGACCGGCUCGGCUGUCCCCUGGAGUCGGGCGCGUGCAUCCAGUGCACAUCGGGCAAGUGCACGACAGCCUUCCACGUCACGUGCGCCCACGCCGCAGGUGUCUCGUUCCUCACCUCCGACUGGCCACUGCCCAUCUUCAUAAAGUGCAUCAAGCACAGUUCAACGCAGGGCGACACCAAGGUCAGGGAGGACACUACUCUUUCACGACUUGAGAAAGUGACACCACGGGAGCGCCCGCCGGCCGAGCCCCUGCCGGCAGUGGAGCCCGGCAGUCGUGUGGUGGCCAAACACAAGAACGGCCGCUACUACUGGGGACAGGUACGAGAUUGUCGCAGCCAAGACUUCUACUCGGUAGACUUCGAAGACAACUCCUCCUGCGACAAUAUGCGGCCAGAGGACAUAGUGGAUCGUGACUGCGUGCAGGCAGGACCACCCAACCCUGGCGACAUAGUUCAAGUGAACUGGACGGACGGCAAGUUGUACAGCGCUGUCUUCAAGGGACACAGAACGAUCACCUUGUACACGGUGGUGUUUGAGGACGAGUCCGAGCGGAUAACCAAGCGUGAGGAUAUCUACGCCGAGGGAGAAGAGCUCCCGAAGCGGGUCAAGUCUAGGUUGAGGAUUUUUAGCGGAUUCUAGUGGAUUUCGGAUUCUGUUUUAACAGAAACCUUGCAGGAGGCAACAGUGACUUCAGUCUGAAGCGACCGAGAGGCAGCACAUCGACCUGUUCGAAGAACAGCCGGUGGAAGGUCGUCGCCGCCGGGCCCUUAACGUCCGCUACAUCGAUGAUGACAUCCUGCUCCUCUGAAGAAUGUGGCAGCACGUCGUCAUCGUCAUCAUCGG